GUGCCCGUAGCUCAGCUGGAUAGAGCGUCUGACUACGGAUCAGAAGGCCAGGGGUUCGAAUCCCUUCGGGCACA
rfam:Deinococcus swuensis strain DY59, complete genome.